UAUUGUAAUCUUGGGAACCAAUAAAAAAAAAAAAGAAAAAAAAAAGAAAAGUAUACCUGUAUGGGAUAGUGACCAGAUAUACUGUAAAGCUGACGGUUAUCUAAGGCGUAACCAAUGACAUUACAUCUAUGCUCUAUGUGACAUUCAAU